GGCCAGUACUGAACGUGGGAUACGGUUUCUGGCGAGGUGGCCCCUCGGGGUGAGCCCAGUCACUAUAAAAAGUUCAACCUGUACAGUUUCGAGGGAUCAUAAUCGAGACAACUUUAGUUUUUUUCUCUCUCCUAGACAAAAAGUGCGAUAUUUUCACCGACGAAAGUGAGCUCCUUUGCUGCACAUCUCCGGAGGCUCGCGCGGCGGCGGAAUCCGGCACAAAUCCCUCCGUCCGCCCUCCCGUUCAUCAUGGCCAAGAAGAAGAAACCCAAGCUAGGCC
rnacentral:lncRNA from 1 species